rnacentral:rRNA from 1 species
UGCGUAGGUGGCUUGGUAAGUUGAAGGUGAAAUCUCGGGGCUUAACUCCGAAACUGCCUUCAAUACUGCUGAGCUCGAGGAUUGUAGAGGAGAAUGGAAUUCACGGUGUAGCAGUGAAAUGCGUAGAUAUCGUGAGGAAGACCAGUGGCGAAGGCGAUUCUCUGGGCAAUUCCUGACACUGAGGCACGAAGGGCUAGGGGAGGCAAAACG